rnacentral:rRNA from 1 species
CCUACGGGAGGCAGCAGUGGGGAAUAUUGGACAAUGGGGGGAACCCUGAUCCAGCGACGCCGCGUGAGUGAAGAAGUAUUUCGGUAUGUAAAGCUCUAUCAGCAGGGAAGAAAGAAAUGACGGUACCUGACUACGAAGCCCCGGCUAACUACGUGCCAGCAGCCGCGGUAAUACGUAGGGGGCAAGCGUUAUCCGGAUUUACUGGGUGGAAAGGGAGCGUAGACGGCGAUGCAAGUCUGAAGUGAAAGGCGGGGGCCCAACCCCCGGACUGCUUUGGAAACUGUAUGGCUGGAGUGCAGGAGAGGUAAGUGGAAGUCCUAGUGGAGCGGUGAAAUGCGUAGAUAUUAGGAGGAACACCAGGGGCGAAGGCGGCUUACUGGACUGUAACUGACGUUGAGGCUCGAAAGCGUGGGGAGCAAACAGGAUUAGAUACCCCGGUAGUC